rnacentral:rRNA from 1 species
ACUGAGUGGCAAACGGGUGAGUAUAAUGUGGGAAUCUGCCUUUUGGUUUGGAAUAACACGGGGAAACUUGUGCUAAUACCGAAUAAGCCCUUACGGGGAAAGUUUUAAUGCCAAAAGAUGAGCCCGCACUUGAUUAGCUAGUUGGUAAGGUAAAAGCUUACCAAGGCAAUGAUCAAUAGCUGUUCUUAGAGGAAGACCAGCCACAUUGGGACUGAGACACGGCCCAGACUCCUACGGGAGGCAGCAGUGGGGAAUCUUGCACAAUGGGGGAAACCCUGAUGCAGCGAUGCCGCGUGAGUGAAGAAGGCCUUUGGGUUGUAAAACUCUUUCGUCGGGGAAGAAAAUGACUGUACCCGAAUAAGAAGGUCCGGCUAACUUCGUGCCAGCAGCCGCGGUAAUACGAAGGGACCUAGCGUAGUUCGGAAUUACUGGGCUUAAAGAGCUCGUAGGUGGUUAAAAAAGUUGAUGGUGAAAUCCCAAGGCUCAACCUUGGAACUGCCAUCAAAACUUUUUAGCUAGAGUGUGAUAGAGGUA